rnacentral:lncRNA from 1 species
CUUAUAACCUUAUGUUAGACCUAACUUAUAAAGACAGUUUCUCUUUUGUUCCUCUAGCAACCAAGCCUAUUUCGCUGACUUGAUCACAAUUAGAAUCCUUGAAGUUCGAAACUAUAUGUCUCAAAGAUUGUAAAGACUAUUUCGCUGCCUUUACAAUCUUUGUCUAAAUUCACUUGUUCGAAUAUCAAAGCUCCACUUUCGUUUUAUGAAUUGAUAUUUGAGAUGAUGGAUUAACAAUUAUCAAACCCUCCACUUUCGUGUAACAUCAUAACAAUAAUUAUUCAACAAGCAUCUCAUUAGCAAUACAUGAAUAAGGAACAACUUAUCAACUUAACAUAACCAUCAUCAAGUACAUUUAACAACUCAUAGAUAACAUCAUGUAACAUCAUAACAACCUCACAUUCAACACUAUAAACAAUCAUCAUAACAUCGUCAUAAUCAUCAACAUAAAAAACGUAAGAGUACACCACCUCUUAUAAAACGACAAAGUAAGAGUAC